UACAGAGGUCUCAAGCGUUGUUCGGAUUCAUUGGGCGUAAAGGGUGCGUAGGCGGCGCGGUAAGUCGGGUGUGAAAUUUCGAGGCUUAACUUCGAAACUGCAUUCGAUACUGCCGUGCUUGAGGACUGGAGAGGAGACUGGAAUUUACGGUGUAGCGGUGAAAUGCGUAGAUAUCGUAAGGAAGGCCAGUGGCGAAGGCGGGUCUCUGGACAGUACCUGACGCUGAGGCACGAAGGCCAGGGGAGCAAACGGG
rnacentral:rRNA from 1 species